GGCUUCUUGUUUAUUUAAGAAGUCAGGCCUGCCCGGUGAUUUAUUUUAACGGCCGCGGUAUAUUGACCGUGCAAAGGUAGCAUAAUCAUUAGUCUUUUAAUAGGGGGCUGGAAUGAAAGGUUGGACGAAGUAUUAGCUGUCUCUAUUAUAUUGUUUGAAUUUAAUUUUUAAGUUAAAAAGCUUAAAUUGUUUUGGAGGACGAGAAGACCCUAUAGAGCUUAACACUUACUUUUUAUUGAUUUUUAGUUUAUGGUUAAUUAUUAUUUUAUUAGUGUUUGGUUGGGGUGACAAAAAUAUAUAAUUAACUUUUUUAUUUUAUAAACAUAAAUUUAUGAAUAUUUGACCCAUUAAUAUUGGUUAAUAGAUUAAGUUACCUUAGGGAUAACAGCGUAAUCUUUUUUUGGAGUUCUUAUUUACAAAAGGGGUUGCGACCUCGAUGUUGGAUUAAGAUAAUUAUUUGGUGUAGUAGCUACAUUAAUAGGUCUGUUCGACCUUUAAAUUCUUACAUGAUCUGAGUUCAGACCGG
rnacentral:rRNA from 1 species